rnacentral:rRNA from 1 species
AUUGAACGCUGGCGGCAUGCCUUACACAUGCAAGUCGAACGGUAACGGGCCUUCGGGUGCCGACGAGUGGCGAACGGGUGAGUAAUGUAUCGGAACGUACCUUUCAGUGGGGGAUAACGUAGCGAAAGUUACGCUAAUACCGCAUAUUCUGUGAGCAGGAAAGCAGGGGAUCGCAAGACCUUGCGCUGAUUGAGCGGCCGAUAUCAGAUUAACUAGUUGGUGAGGUAAAGGCUCACCAAGGCGACGAUCUGUAGCGGGUCUGAGAGGAUGAUCCGCCACACUGGAACUGAGACACGGUCCAGACUCCUACGGGAGGCAGCAGUGGGGAAUUUUGGACAAUGGGGGCAACCCUGAUCCAGCCAUGCCGCGUGAGUGAAGAAGGCCUUCGGGUUGUAAAGCUCUUUCGGCCGGGAAGAAAUCGUAUCAGCUAAUACCUGGCGCGGAUGACGGUACCGGCAUAAGAAGCACCGGCUAACUACGUGCCAGCCGCCGCGGUAACAC